UCUCUUCGGAGCAUUUUACGAGGUGCUGGCAUGGUUGUCGUCAGGCUCGUGCCGUGAGGUGUCGGGUUAAGUCCCAUAACGAGCGCAACCCCUACCUUUAGUUGCCAACAGGUCAUGCUGGGGACUCUAAAGGAACUGCCUACGCAAGUAGUGAGGAAGGCGGGGAUGACGUCAAAUCAGCACGGCCCUUACGUCCAGGGCUACACACGUGCUACAAUGGCCGAUACAGAGGGCAGCUACCUGGUGACAGGAUGCAAAUCUCCAAAGUCGGUCUCAGUUCGGAUCGGAGUCUGCAACUCGACUCCGUGAAGUUGGAUUCGCUAGUAAUCGCGCAUCAGCCAUGGCGCGGUCGAAUACGUUCCCGGGCCUU
rnacentral:rRNA from 1 species